rnacentral:rRNA from 1 species
AUUGAACGCUGGCGGCAUGCUUUACACAUGCAAGUCGAACGGUAACAGGGUGCUUGCACCGCUGACGAGUGGCGAACGGGUGAGUAAUGCGUCGGAACGUGCCGAGUAGUGGGGGAUAACGCGGCGAAAGUUGUGCUAAUACCGCAUACGUACUGAGGUAGAAAGUGGGGGACCUUCGGGCCUCACGCUAUUCGAGCGGCCGACGUCUGAUUAGCUAGUAGGUGAGGUAAAGGCUCACCUAGGCGACGAUCAGUAGCGGGUCUGAGAGGAUGAUCCGCCACACUGGGACUGAGACACGGCCCAGACUCCUACGGGAGGCAGCAGUGGGGAAUUUUGGACAAUGGGCGAAAGCCUGAUCCAGCCAUGCCGCGUGUCUGAAGAAGGCCUUCGGGUUGUAAAGGACUUUUGUCAGGGAGGAAAUCCCUAGCGUUAAUACCGCUGGGGGAUGACAGUACCUGAAGAAUAAGCACCGGCUAACUACGUGCCAGCAGCCGCAGUAAAAC